GGUUAAGCGACUAAGCGUACACGGUGGAUGCCCUGGCAGUCAGAGGCGAUGAAGGACGUGCUAAUCUGCGAUAAGCGUCGGUAAGGUGAUAUGAACCGUUAUAACCGGCGAUUUCCGAAUGGGGAAACCCAGUGUGAUUCGUCACACUAUCAUUAACUGAAUCCAUAGGUUAAUGAGGCGAACCGGGGGAACUGAAACAUCUAAGUACCCCGAGGAAAAGAAAUCAACCGAGAUUCCCCCAGUAGCGGCGAGCGAACGGGGAGGAGCCCAGAGCCUGAAUCAGUGUGUGUGUUAGUGGAAGCGUCUGGAAAGGCGCGCGAUACAGGGUGACAGCCCCGUACACAAAAAUGCACAUGCUGUGAGCUCGAUGAGUAGGGCGGGACACGUGGUAUCCUGUCUGAAUAUGGGGGGACCAUCCUCCAAGGCUAAAUACUCCUGACUGACCGAUAGUGAACCAGUACCGUGAGGGAAAGGCGAAAAGAACCCCGGCGAGGGGAGUGAAAAAGAACCUGAAACCGUGUACGUACAAGCAGUGGGAGCACGCUUAGGCGUGUGACUGCGUACCUUUUGUAUAAUGGGUCAGCGACUUAUAUUCUGUAGCAAGGUUAACCGAAUAGGGGAGCCGAAGGGAAACCGAGUCUUAACUGGGCGUUAAGUUGCAGGGUAUAGACCCGAAACCCGGUGAUCUAGCCAUGGGCAGGUUGAAGGUUGGGUAACACUAACUGGAGGACCGAACCGACUAAUGUUGAAAAAUUAGCGGAUGACUUGUGGCUGGGGGUGAAAGGCCAAUCAAACCGGGAGAUAGCUGGUUCUCCCCGAAAGCUAUUUAGGUAGCGCCUCGUGAAUUCAUCUCCGGGGGUAGAGCACUGUUUCGGCAAGGGGGUCAUCCCGACUUACCAACCCGAUGCAAACUGCGAAUACCGGAGAAUGUUAUCACGGGAGACACACGGCGGGUGCUAACGUCCGUCGUGAAGAGGGAAACAACCCAGACCGCCAGCUAAGGUCCCAAAGUCAUGGUUAAGUGGGAAACGAUGUGGGAAGGCCCAGACAGCCAGGAUGUUGGCUUAGAAGCAGCCAUCAUUUAAAGAAAGCGUAAUAGCUCACUGGUCGAGUCGGCCUGCGCGGAAGAUGUAACGGGGCUAAACCAUGCACCGAAGCUGCGGCAGCGACGCUUAUGCGUUGUUGGGUAGGGGAGCGUUCUGUAAGCCUGUGAAGGUGUACUGUGAGGUAUGCUGGAGGUAUCAGAAGUGCGAAUGCUGACAUAAGUAACGAUAAAGCGGGUGAAAAGCCCGCUCGCCGGAAGACCAAGGGUUCCUGUCCAACGUUAAUCGGGGCAGGGUGAGUCGACCCCUAAGGCGAGGCCGAAAGGCGUAGUCGAUGGGAAACAGGUUAAUAUUCCUGUACUUGGUGUUACUGCGAAGGGGGGACGGAGAAGGCUAUGUUGGCCGGGCGACGGUUGUCCCGGUUUAAGCGUGUAGGCUGGUUUUCCAGGCAAAUCCGGAAAAUCAAGGCUGAGGCGUGAUGACGAGGCACUACGGUGCUGAAGCAACAAAUGCCCUGCUUCCAGGAAAAGCCUCUAAGCAUCAGGUAACAUCAAAUCGUACCCCAAACCGACACAGGUGGUCAGGUAGAGAAUACCAAGGCGCUUGAGAGAACUCGGGUGAAGGAACUAGGCAAAAUGGUGCCGUAACUUCGGGAGAAGGCACGCUGAUAUGUAGGUGAAGUCCCUCGCGGAUGGAGCUGAAAUCAGUCGAAGAUACCAGCUGGCUGCAACUGUUUAUUAAAAACACAGCACUGUGCAAACACGAAAGUGGACGUAUACGGUGUGACGCCUGCCCGGUGCCGGAAGGUUAAUUGAUGGGGUUAGCGCAAGCGAAGCUCUUGAUCGAAGCCCCGGUAAACGGCGGCCGUAACUAUAACGGUCCUAAGGUAGCGAAAUUCCUUGUCGGGUAAGUUCCGACCUGCACGAAUGGCGUAAUGAUGGCCAGGCUGUCUCCACCCGAGACUCAGUGAAAUUGAACUCGCUGUGAAGAUGCAGUGUACCCGCGGCAAGACGGAAAGACCCCGUGAACCUUUACUAUAGCUUGACACUGAACAUUGAGCCUUGAUGUGUAGGAUAGGUGGGAGGCUUUGAAGUGUGGACGCCAGUCUGCAUGGAGCCGACCUUGAAAUACCACCCUUUAAUGUUUGAUGUUCUAACGUUGACCCGUAAUCCGGGUUGCGGACAGUGUCUGGUGGGUAGUUUGACUGGGGCGGUCUCCUCCUAAAGAGUAACGGAGGAGCACGAAGGUUGGCUAAUCCUGGUCGGACAUCAGGAGGUUAGUGCAAUGGCAUAAGCCAGCUUGACUGCGAGCGUGACGGCGCGAGCAGGUGCGAAAGCAGGUCAUAGUGAUCCGGUGGUUCUGAAUGGAAGGGCCAUCGCUCAACGGAUAAAAGGUACUCCGGGGAUAACAGGCUGAUACCGCCCAAGAGUUCAUAUCGACGGCGGUGUUUGGCACCUCGAUGUCGGCUCAUCACAUCCUGGGGCUGAAGUAGGUCCCAAGGGUAUGGCUGUUCGCCAUUUAAAGUGGUACGCGAGCUGGGUUUAGAACGUCGUGAGACAGUUCGGUCCCUAUCUGCCGUGGGCGCUGGAGAAUUGAGGGGGGCUGCUCCUAGUACGAGAGGACCGGAGUGGACGCAUCACUGGUGUUCGGGUUGUCAUGCCAAUGGCACUGCCCGGUAGCUAAAUGCGGAAGAGAUAAGUGCUGAAAGCAUCUAAGCACGAAACUUGCCCCGAGAUGAGUUCUCCCUGACUCCUUGAGAGUCCUGAAGGAACGUUGAAGACGACGACGUUGAUAGGCCGGGUGUGUAAGCGCAGCGAUGCGUUGAGCUAACCGGUACUAAUGAACCGUGAGGCUUAACCUU
rnacentral:rRNA from 1 species